UGUAGUAGGUCCCAAGGGUUGGGCUGUUCGCCCAUUAAAGUGGUACGCGAGCUGGGUUCAGAACGUCGUGAGACAGUUCGGUCCCUAUCCGUCGCAGGCGUAGGAAAUUUGAGAAGACCUGUCCUUAGUACGAGAGGACCGGGAUGGACGUACCUCUGGUGUACCAGUUGUCCUGCCAAGGGCAUGGCUGGGUAGCUAUGUACGGAAUGGAUAAGCGCUGAAAGCAUCUAAGCGCGAAGCCAACUUCAAGAUAAGAUUUCCCACCGCAAGGGUAAGACCCCAGAAAGACUAUCUGGUUGAUAGGUCGAAGGUGUAAGUGCAGCAAUGUAUUUAGCUUAUCGAUACUAAUAGGUCGAGGACUUGACCAAU
rnacentral:rRNA from 1 species